UACGUAGGGUGCAAGCGUUAAUCGGAAUUACUGGGCGUAAAGCGUGCGCAGGCGGUUGUGCAAGACAGAUGUGAAAUCCCCGGGCUUAACCUGGGAACUGCAUUUGUGACUGCACAGCUGGAGUGCGGCAGAGGGGGAUGGAAUUCCGCGUGUAGCAGUGAAAUGCGUAGAUAUGCGGAGGAACACCGAUGGCGAAGGCAAUCCCCUGGGCCUGCACUGACGCUCAUGCACGAAAGCGUGGGGGAGCAAACAGG
rnacentral:rRNA from 1 species